GCACACGGUCCAUAACCUGGACUGUAUUUGGUCGUUCUCUUAAAGAGGAUUAAUUAAUUUUAUUAGUUUUCGUUUCGUCAGUUCCAACUUUCAAUGGAAUCAGAGGAGGUGAAUAACAACAAUAAUAAGGAGGGAACUACUAACAUCUUUAACAUCAGUAGUAAGGAGUCAUCUGUUCAGAUUGGCGAGAAAAACACCAUGAUGUCCGAAAUGCCGGAGGGAUUGUCAAUCAGAAUGGCGAAUAUUGAAAAACAAUUCUUAAGCCAGACAAAGUUGAUACGUGUUCAACUUUCGGAGAUGAAAAGAUCAAUCAUCAGCCAUUUGACAACAAAAAUUCGAAAAAGUCAAAGAAAGAUGAAACAGAAGAUUCGGUCGGAGAUAGAAAGACUCGGGAAGAAGAGGGGUAGGCAGAAGGUGAAGACGGUUAUAGCAAUGAUGAAGCGGAGGGAGAGGCAGAUGUGGACGAGGAAGUUUGUGAAGAUGCUUACAAUGAUGAAGAAGAGAGAGAGGGAAAUGGUGAAGGCGGUCAUGGUGAUAGUGAAGAUGAUGAUGCACGUCCCUAAAGUCAUCUGUAAUUUAAAGAUGCUUCGGAGGUGAGAAAACAAGAAUACCAUGGUUGGCUGCUACCUAAGGCGCAAUGAGUACGGUUGAAGAUGCGUCUCAGAAGUAAACGUUAUAAUAUACGCUCGCGUUUGAGUAAUAGCGCCGUAGAUGAUUGGUGCUAGAUAGCCCACAAUUAUAAUGUUCCUCUGAAAUGGGAGAAAGGGUGUAAAAUAAGGCCCACAGAUACGGUAACAUUCCCUUGUAAUACAAAAAGAGCGUUAAAGAGGUAGUCAUUCUUUAAAGUCUAUGCUUAUCUAAAAUAAAGUUCAAAUUUAAAAGGGCGCAGAUUUUUAAAAAAAAAUAUAUCGCAGUUUCUCGAAAACUUUCAUGAAUAUUUAAUGAAACUGGACGUAUUUAAUAAAAGGUAUUACUCACAUAUGUUUCCAUACUUUUAAAAUUUCGUUCCAGCUAGGUUUUGUGUGUUUCGCAGGUUUCCUUGGGUCGCUUAUUACAAGGAGUCUCGACGACGAUAUAAAGCGUUAUAACAUUUUGUUAACUUGUUUACCACGUUGCGAUUGCCUAACGUUAUAUCCAAACAAACAGUUUCACAAUACGACGGAUUUUUUUUUUUUUGGUUAAAAGCCGAGCUCGUAGGAUGAGUGCCUCUUUAAGCCCCACGUAAAUAGUGGUAAUUAUAAGUCAUGAAAUGGGAUUACGUAUUAUGAGCACAAAAUGUUGUUCUGCGUUAAAGAGGAUGUCACCCUUUUCAAAUUAAUGACCAAUGAUUGGACAGAUUUCACCAUUUAUCACUAAAACAAAAAUAUUACUGGCCACACACGAAACUUUUGUCUGUGACUUAAACAAUUUUGCGAACUGGAAGUUGUUUCAGAUAAACAGGGUGAGAUCCUUUUUAAGCCCACGUCUAAAGUGGAAAAAUUCAUAUUUUAUUAUGAUUAUAAAUGGAGCAAUAUCCCCUUUUAUAUGGGAAAACCAACCUGGAAUAAAAAGAAAAACAAA